AUUACUAAAUCAUGUAAAUCAUCGUAGAUCUUGAACCUACUCUAUAUAUUAGAUGAGGUUUUGUGUAAAGCCGACCAGAACCAAAGCCCAGCCAGACAUCAGCAGAGUCUACCAACACUUAAAGUGAACAGCUUUUCAAGGUGACACAUUAUUACUUUGUAGUCAGAGUUUUCAGAAGGGAUCUGUGCAUUUUUAGAAUUUUAAAUUUUUGAAUUUAAAUGCCUCGUCACAUGUACGCCCUUGUCCAGCUUCCCUCUAAAACUCAUUUCACUGAAUUCAACAACAUGGCAGUGAAACUGUCAAGCUAGGUCUAAAAAAAAGCACUGUUGUUUAGUUAGAAUCAAACCCAAGGUUCCGUCCUCUUCCUCAAAUUCUGAGGUACCGUUAUUGGAGCAUUUCCCAUCAGCGUGUGAACUGGUUCCUGAUCCUCUCCAUCACUGAUUCUACUACGCCUGGUGUGCCAAGCUGCUUCUGGAGGUAAAUGAUGCUGCUGCUGCUGCUGCUGCUGCUGCUGCUGCUGCUGUGAACCUGAUCCCUCCCUUCAUCAACAGCUGCCUUGCUACAGAUUCUGUUACUGCACUGCUGUAAAGACAAACCGAGCGUUUUUAGUUUUAUCCUGACAAAGUAGCCUGUUUGUAUUUAUUUAUUUAUGAAACAAGGAAAUAUUUACUGAAGCAAAGGAGAAGAAUGGAAAAAAUAUCAUGUAUUUAUGAUUAUGUCAGAUGGAUCAUGAACGUUACAGUUGACAGUUCUGCUUUGAAUGUUUGUGGAUCUGUCAUCAGAGGAACUUGCAGCCACCCAUGAACCACGCCAGGUGGUUUCACAGUGUAACUGCAGUGUUGCACAUGUCAUGUUUUAAUAAAGUUGUUCUACCAAGCCUU